GAUCCGCUAGCUCAGUUGGUAGAGCACAUCCCUUUUAAGGAUGGGGUCCCGGGUUCGAGCCCCGGGCGGAUCA
rnacentral:tRNA from 1 species